UGUGACUCGCUAGGGUCUGGCUGACGGUCAGCUCCUGCAGGAGGUCUGAGGGAGAAAGGAGAAUGCGGUCAGGCCCCUGUUCCCUUCGCUCUUACUGUGAGGUCAUCUCAGGCUGGCUGUCUUUCCACACCUCUUAAGCAUCUGCAGGGAUGCUGCCCUCCGAUAACUACCGUAAGUGGAGAAUGAAACUACUGCCACUCAAUGAUCAACGCAUGGCUUCUUCCAUCAAGAAAAUCUUAUCUAAAAAAAAGAGCCGUGUUCCAGCUAAACCGGAC
rnacentral:lncRNA from 1 species